rnacentral:rRNA from 1 species
UACAUGUGGGGCAAGCGUUGUUCGGAAUUACUGGGCCUAAAGGGUGCGUAGGCGGCUUGUUAAGUCAGGGGUGAAAGUUUUCGGCCCAACCGGAAAAUUGCCUUUGAUACUGGCGAGCUCGAGUGCGUGAGGGGUAACCGGAACGAGUGGUGUAGCGGUGAAAUGCGUAGAUAUCACUCGGAAGGCCAAAGGCGAAGGCAGGUUACUGGUACGCAACUGACGCUGAGGCACGAAAGCGUGGGGAGCAAACAGG